UUCCAGACAGGGAAGCUAAGAUACUGUAAGGGGAUGGUGUGAGAUCACAAAUUAUGUGGGUGGCAGAGUUGGUGUAUGUUACUCUUUUGAUAGCCAUUACUCUCUUCCACUGAUUAGAUAUACUCUUUUUGACACCUCACCAUGCUGACAGAAAAGCAGCAGUUAUUGAUGCGGUCCCAUUAUAUCACAAAAAGCUAAGCCUUAGUUGGAGGAGGAUGCAUUUAUAACUAAAAUAAUGUAUGUUCUGCAUUGGUGAUAUGCUGUUCUUAGCAUUGCUUAUUGCAAGUCUUAGGUACAAUUUAACUUCUCCUUGAGCAGUGACAAUUUUUUCAGUGUUCUACUAGUUCUAUAUAACCAUAAUCAUUUUUAAACAUUACCCUUAUUUGUCCAGAAUUAUUUACAUUAUCUCAUACACAUAUGUACCUUGGGCCUGAUUCUUCUGUCAGUUAUACUUUUACUGAAGACAGUGGAAUUAUUUCCAAUCUAGAACUGUAUGAAAGGAGAUGUAAGCCUUUUAUCUCUAUUUCUCUUACAGUACAGCACAUUAAUGCCUCUAUAACCUGUGCCAUUACUUGAAUCGAAGCAGUGAAUGAGAACAUCUGACAGUUGGAAAUACAAAAGCUGUCUUUGAUUAUUAUUGAACUUCUGUAGCUGAUGAGAUGUCAUCAGAAAUAGCAGGCAAGAGUAGGCUCUGCAAACAUUCCAUCUUAAUUAUGAGUCUUCCGAAGAAAAUAAUUUUUACAGAUUAUGGUGAAACUACAGGAAGCAGACUGAAUUUGGUAGGGCAGGAGAAGGAGUUUGGACAUAAAGAAGGUAGAGAGGGGAUCUUUGACAAUAGCAAUAAAUAGGUUAAUUGAUCUCUCUUUGUGAAAGUGGUCACUGAUAAGGUCAUGGCUCAGCAGCCCAAUUUAAAAUGUGCUUCAUUUUAAAAUGUCAGCAUUAAACAAGAGUGAUCAGACAUUGGAUAUUUGAGACUCAUUCUGAUACUUGCUUGCUGAACGAUGCAUCUAUUCUUGUGCUGGUUUGCGUAUUUCAUUUUAGUAAACAAAGAGCAUACUAAAAUCAUUUUAAUAAAAGUCUGUGGACACAAGAAAUUUGAGAACA
rnacentral:lncRNA from 1 species